AGUGGCUCAGUGGUGGAGCACUUGCCUUGCAUGCAUGAGGCCUUGGGUUCGAUUCCUCAGCACUA
rnacentral:tRNA from 1 species